GGCCUCGUAGCUCAGCUGGUAGGGCACUCGAGGUACUAAAGCUGGAGUGGUGACCAUGGGCGGGUUUGAAUCCCGCCGGGGUCA
rnacentral:tRNA from 1 species